GUAAUCACUUUGAAAAUACAUAUACUAAAAAUUGGAGCAAUAUGGAGAAGAUUAGCAUGACCCCUACCAAAGGAUGACAUGUAAAUUCACGAAAAAUUGGAUAUUAAA
ensembl:snRNA U6 U6 spliceosomal RNA